CUUCAGGCGUAGGCCUUCAGGAAAGGGGCGUGGUCGUGGGGGUGAGGAGGGAGAGCGCGAGGGCAAGGAGCGGUGGGCUCCCUGCGGCCGCGGGGUGGGGCUUCGGUCCCCUCGCUGCGCCCGCGUCUCCUCGGAAAAGGCGCCAGCCGCUCGUGAGAUGAAGUGCGGGCCGUUAGGUUUUUAAAUCCUCGCCCUUGAUGUUUGUGCGUAUAUCGGCGCCGAAAACAUACUUGCAGAUUCGCAGUAGUGAUCAUUUUAAUGCGGUGGGUAUUGACCGUUUCUGCUGAAACGGAAGGAAACAAACUGCUCACACCCCAAACAAACGGCUAAGGACCCCUGAGUCUCAACACAGAGACACAGAGAACAGGCCCGCGGGAGGAAAGGGAGUUGACCUGUAGCUCCCCAUUUCAACGUCAACGUCUAUCAGUGCAGUGAAAGUGGACGGUUGAAGGUCAAAAAGCAGCCAUUGUGAUGUAACGUACGUAGGAAGCAGAGGAAAAGCAUGCCUCUCCAAGUAACGGAAGAUGUGGAUACCCGUUAGGUCAGUCUUGUCAUGCCACGGACAAGUCCUUGAAACAGGCAGAAUGACAUUCCUCUAAGGACUCAACUGCCUCGAUGUUAAUGUUUAUGCUAAGGGAAAAAGGCAACUUUAGCCCAACCCCCAGGAUCUUAAAGGGGUACUAGGAAACAUGACCCUGCUCACUGAACCAGUUUGGAGACUGCAAAGGGGAGGACUGGCACAGAGAAUGGAGUACUGGCUUUGCCAUGAACAUUGUGUUUGUGAACAAGGAAACUAUAUAAAGGACUUAAAUAUCCUUUGGAGAGAUCUUUUAAAAGCUAUAAUUGACAACUCACUGCUCAGCCUUUGCAUCUGAGGUGGGAAGAGAGUCGCUACACAAAUUCAGACCGGAAAAAAUACAAUGAGGACAAAUGCUCCCAAACAACAUGAUGGGAGAACAACAGAAUUUAGUGUCAUCUUUUAGAAUUAGAAAUGCCAAAUUGGUAUAUUCCUUAUGGAAAACUUUCUUUUAAAUGAAGCACACAUCGUACAUAAAGGAAAUCUGAGUAGUAAGACUGAAUAAGAAGAACUAUAGGAUAUACAACCUUCAAUAACAUUGUUACAGUUGUAAUUUAAUCAUAAAACAUUUGAGAAUUACAAACCAUGUUCUUCUAGUCUGUUUGAUUUGACAUUCUGAAAUUCCUUAGACUAUUUCGUAAAUAUACUUAUACACCUUGUCAUUUUUUUCUUUGAAAUAAAACUGCAACUAGAUUCGAGCCAUCCUUGCAAGAUGUAUUUUGCAUUAUGAAUAUGUUCACAUGAUGUGUCUGAGACUAGCUUCACAAUAAAUCAGUGCGGAAUGGGGAUGACAGAAAGUGGGUUUGGUGUAGAUGAAACAAGGUUUGUUUAACUUCUGUAGGUAUUGUCCAUAAUAAAAAAAUAAAAAGAGGAAAACUGCAUAUGGUAUUAAAAUGUGUUCAAUUUUGGUCAUUACUUUUAUUUGCUUGCAUUGUGAAAUAUGGUUUUAAAAUUUUCAUCUUGGCUCAUGGAUAAAAUCAUUUCAUUAUCCUUUAUCUCAAACACAAUGUUUGGCCUAAAUGUUAAAAAUGUUUUAUUGGAGAGAUUAUUUAUUAUUAAAAAAAUACAUGGUUUACAUCCUUG